rnacentral:rRNA from 4 species
AAAUUGAAGAGUUUGAUCAUGGCUCAGAUUGAACGCUGGCGGCAGGCCUAACACAUGCAAGUCGAACGGUAACAGGAAGCAGCUUGCUGCUUCGCUGACGAGUGGCGGACGGGUGAGUAAUGUCUGGGAAACUGCCUGAUGGAGGGGGAUAACUACUGGAAACGGUGGCUAAUACCGCAUAACGUCGCAAGACCAAAGAGGGGGACCUUCGGGCCUCUUGCCAUCAGAUGUGCCCAGAUGGGAUUAGCUUGUUGGUGAGGUAACGGCUCACCAAGGCGACGAUCCCUAGCUGGUCUGAGAGGAUGACCAGCCACACUGGAACUGAGACACGGU